CCUACGGGUGGCAGCAGUGAGGCAUAUUGGUCAAUGGACGAGAGUCUGAACCAGCCAAGUAGCGUGAAGGAUGACUGCCCUAUGGGUUGUAAACUUCUUUUAUAUGGGAAUAAAAUGUUCCACGUGUGGGAUUUUGUAUGUACCAUAUGAAUAAGGAUCGGCUAACUCCGUGCCAGCAGCCGCGGUAAUACGGAGGAUCCGAGCGUUAUCCGGAUUUAUUGGGUUUAAAGGGAGCGUAGGUGGAUUGUUAAGGCAGUUGUGAAAGUUUGCGGCUCAACCGUAAAAUUGCAGUUGAAACUGGCAGUCUUGAGUACAGUAGAGGUGGGCGGAAUUCGUGGUGUAGCGGUGAAAUGCUUAGAUAUCACGAAGAACUCCGAUUGCGAAGGCAGUUCACUGGACUGCAACUGACACUGAGGCUCGAAAGUGUGGGUAUCAAACAGGAUUAGAUACCCCUGUAGUC
rnacentral:rRNA from 1 species